rnacentral:rRNA from 1 species
GAUGAACGCUGGCGGCGUGCCUAAUACAUGCAAGUCGAACGAACGGACGAGAAGCUUGCUUCUCUGAUGUUAGCGGCGGACGGGUGAGUAACACGUGGAUAACCUACCUAUAAGACUGGGAUAACUUCGGGAAACCGGAGCUAAUACCGGAUAAUAUUUUGAACCGCAUGGUUCAAAAGUGAAAGACGGUCUUGCUGUCACUUAUAGAUGGAUCCGCGCUGCAUUAGCUAGUUGGUAAGGUAACGGCUUACCAAGGCAACGAUGCAUAGCCGACCUGAGAGGGUGAUCGGCCACUCUGGAACUGAGACACGGUCCAGACUCCUACGGGAGGCAGCAGUAGGGAAUCUUCCGCAAUGGGCGAAAGCCUGACGGAGCAACGCCGCGUGAGUGAUGAAGGUCUUCGGAUCGUAAAACUCUGUUAUUAGGGAAGAACAUAUGUGUAAGUAACUGUGCACAUCUUGACGGUACCUAAUCAGAAAGCCACGGCUAACUACGUG